rnacentral:lncRNA from 1 species
AAUCCUAAUCAAAUCCUAAAUCCUAAUUUUAGAUCAUAUCAUAUUCAAAUCCUAAUCAAAUUCCUAAUCAAAUCUUAAAUCCAAAUCCUAAAUAAAUCUUAAUCAAAUUUUAAAUUUUAAUCCUAAAAAAAUCCUAAUCAAAUCUUAAUUUUAAUUCUAGACCAAAUCCUAAUUAAAUUUUAAAUCAAAUCCUAUUCAAAUCUUAGACAAAUCCUAAUCAAAUUCUAAAUCCUAAUUCUAGAUCAAAUCCUAAUCAAAAUCUAAUUAAAUCUUAAAUCUUAAUCAAAUCCUAGAUAAAUCCUAAAUUCUAAUCAAAUCCUAAACAAUCUUUAAAUAAAUCUUAAAUCUUAAAAAAA